UACGUAGGGUGCAAGCGUUAAUCGGAAUUACUGGGCGUAAAGCGUGCGCAGGCGGUUCUAUAAGACAGAUGUGAAAUCCCCGGGCUCAACCCUGGGAACUGCAUUUGUGACUGUAGAGCUGGAGUACGGCAGAGGGGGAUGGAAUUCCGCGUGUAGCAGUGAAAUGCGUAGAUAUGCGGAGGAACACCGAUGGCGAAGGCAAUCCCCUGGGCCUGUACUGACGCUCAUGCACGAAAGCGUGGGAGCAAACAGG
rnacentral:rRNA from 1 species